AUUGAACGCUGGCGGCAGGCCUAACACAUGCAAGUCGAGCGGAUGAAGGGAGCUUGCUCCUGGAUUCAGCGGCGGACGGGUGAGUAAUGCCUAGGAAUCUGCCUGGUAGUGGGGGGUAACGUCCGGAAACGGGCGCUAAUACCGCAUACGUCCUGAUGGAGAAAGUGGGGGAUCUUCGGACCUCACGCUAUCAGAUGAGCCUAGGUCGGAUUAGCUAGUUGGUGGGGUAAAGGCCUACCAAGGCGACGAUCCGUAACUGGUCUGAGAGGAUGAUCAGUCACACUGGAACUGAGACACGGUCCAGACUCCUAAGGGAGGCAGCAGUGGGGAAUAUUGGACAAUGGGCGAAAGCCUGACCCAGCCAUGCCGCGUGUGUGAAGAAGGUCUUCGGAUUGUAAAGCCCUUUAAGUUGGGAGGAAGGGCAGUAAGUUAAUACCUUGCUGUUUUGACGUUACCAACAGAAGAAGCACCGGCUAACUUCGUG
rnacentral:rRNA from 1 species